AGCAGAGUGUUUGAGGCCUGAUUGGUGCAAGACUGACUGGGGUAGAAGAUGGGAGUAGGAAGAUGGAGACGUGUGGGAAGGAAGGCCUUAUCCUCAGGGGGAAUAGGGGGAUAGAUAGAAGACUUCCUUGGGGUGUGAGGCGGAAGUAGGGGGAAGGAAGAUGUGGGGAGAGGGGAGGGCCGGUGGUGAUGUGAUGUGUGGGGGUGGUGUGGGAAUACAUUUGCGGGCAAAAGAGCAUUGGGUUAGGGACUGAAUAGUGCGCACUAAAGCCUAAAAAUGGGAAGAAAUUUUCUCUGGGGGCUAAUAAACGAAUGAUGGUCUUCCUUGCACGUCUUUAUCACAGGUGGCAGUUGAGGUUAUUUAACAUCAGGGUCUGCCAUGUGCUUUGGGCUUUCUGACUGAUCUACAAAGAACCUCAGUGGGGAAAGGUGGGAGAGGGGGUGGUACACCCCAUCUCUAGUUUUCUCUAUCCAGGAAAAGGCUGCAGUAAACGCAUUUAAAUACUUCUCAUUUCAUAGAGCAAAGUUUUUGCUUUAGAAUGAAGAAGCUGCUCAAAGGUAAAUAAAGAAUGUACAAAUGUCUAAGUGGUUCUGAUUUUCUUUAAAAAGUAUAUCCUUGUCCUGACUACAGACACGGACAUGUCCGAAGCAAAGGCUGGUCGUUUGAAGAUCCAGGAUGAUGAUUGUUAUAUUAUUACUGUGGAUUCAAGCAGUGAUGAAGAACCUGAUACCAUUGCGAUUGGAGUGAAUGUGCAGAAAGGGGACGUCAGCUACGUGGUGAUUGACUCAGACUCUGAGGAUGAAUGCUUCCGUAAGAAGAAGAAGGCGAAGCUAUCUGGAAUAAA